rnacentral:rRNA from 1 species
UACGUAAAGUGCAAGCGUUAAUCGGAAUUACUGGGCGUAAAGCGUGCGCAGGCGGUUUUGUAAGUCAGAUGUGAAAUCCCCGGGCUUAACCUGGGAACUGCGUUUGAAACUACAAGGCUAGAGUGUGGCAGAGGAGGAUGGAAUUCCACGUAUAGCAGUGAAAUGCGUAGAGAUGUAGAGGAACACCAAUAGCGAAGGCAGCCCCCCUGGGUUAACACUGACGCUCAGGCACGAAAAGCGUAGGGAGCGAACAGG